rnacentral:lncRNA from 1 species
UUAAUUCACUCAUUCAUCCAUCAAACUUCACUUUGUUAUAUGUUGUUGUGCUUCCCUCUAAGUCUUUCUCUGGGAGAUCUUUCUACAGCUUCACUUUGUUUCUUUGUUUGUUUACAAACAAUUAAUUCAAGUAAUUUCUCUCUCUAAAUAUUAAUUAGUAAACACAUUUUACUCAUCAUAGCUUUGGUUGGUAGUACUCA